rnacentral:lncRNA from 1 species
CCACAAAAGAAACAAUAGAAAGAAAAAUUUGCUCUAAUAUCUACAAUAGAAAAAUAGAAUAAUCUAAACGAGUUCUUCGCAUAUAAGGGCAACCGAAGAACUACAACAAAAUAAAAAAUAAAAAUAAAAAUAAAAUAAAAACUCUAGUCUAUGCAGUGAUUAAACAAAAAUUCAAUAUUAAACAUAAUUGGUCUCUGACAGCGACGCCAAAAACUUGAUGCAGCUGCAAGUGC